rnacentral:lncRNA from 1 species
UUUUGCCUUCUGCUGCUUUGUAUAAAUCGCGUAAAAUCUUCAUGUUGACCCUUCAGGGACUUGGGAGUCGUCAAUUGAAUCGGGAGAUUGUGUUUUGGGUUUGCUCAUCAUUCUACUAUAUCCAUAACCAAGAGAACUUCCACUUGUUUCAGAUAGCUGAAUAAAAAGACCAAAAGUCAUAUACAUUCAUUCAAAUAUAUAAAGUUGAUAGUGACAAAGUGUUCUCAUCUUGUGUGCAUGGAUGACUUUAAGAAACACGCACUUCUGUAAGUUCGGCCAGAUGGCGGGAUCUGAAUUCAUUAAUUGUUGCCGCAAUCUCCGAUGCAGGAAGUUUAACCUGAAGAGAGGAAUGUUCAGAUAACAGAUUGUCUAUCUCAAUGCUUCAACAUUUCAUCAACUAGCAAAGUCAUAUGAUAAAAACCCUUUUGUGCAGAUUUGUUCAUUUGAUUAACAGAAGCAACUAAAGGUUUUGUUCAAUUUGGUACACUUUCGAAAUUGCUAUUAUGAAGCUAAUUUUUCCAUGCAAUAAAGAGCAAAAAUAUGCUCAUACAAUUUCUAAGAAAAUUUGGCCAGAAACUUGAGUAAUACAUACAAUGCGGAGAAAACAAGCAGAUUUUUGGCAAGAGCCAUUGUGACCUAAAGUUUCAAUCACGACGAUAGACAAACAUAAUCAUUUACUGGUGUUUGUCAUCAUAAGAGAAGGGUGUAACAAAAUAUUGACAUAAAAUGUUUUUCCAUUAGGUCAAUAUAUCUGCUCCAAUAACAUUAUGAUAUUUACCUCAGAAAGCACUGCUGCGGCUAGUUGAAGACUUGGUUCCAAGGUCUCUGGGACAACCUGCAAAUGCAAGCAACAGAAAAACAAGAUGCAUAAGAAUGACAAGAUCUACACUAAGUAGUCCAAUAAUAGCCAAUUUUUCAAUAGAUAUGCAAUAAUCGAAUAAAAAAGUGUUAGACAAUGACCAUGUAAAAGUUACACGAUAAGGCAAUGAUAACAGAAAUGAUAGAAGAGGUAUCAAAAUAUUACCGCUGUAGCUCCAGCUUUUUCUAAAUUCAAUCCAUGAGUAACAUCAUGAGCGCGAACAAAAGUCUUCACAUUUGGGAAGUGUUUGCUCAGAGCCCAAACCGUUCUAUAGUUUGCACCAGGGGAAUCUAGAGUUAUUGCUGCAGCACUUGCCCUUCCAGCCCCGACUUUGUGUAGAACCUUAGCACGCAACACAAAGCAUGUCAAGUAAUGAACACCUAUACGAGCUUAAUUAUUUUAGUCAUGUGCACUACCUCUCGACUACCAGCAUCGCCGAAGUACACUGGGAGAUCCAAUGAACGCCCAAUUGCCACUCUUUCACUGAGAACAUUAGAAAAUAUUAUGGCAAGUUAGGACAAUAACUUCCAUUUCCCAUCCAAAAUUGCAGACAUGAUAUAUGGUAGACUGGUACUUCAUGCAUUUUAUUUCAUGUUUGGAUGGGGGGAAAUGAAUGAAUUAUGGAGAUUGAAGUAUUUGGAAAGAAUAUCAGAAAUUAAUGCAUAA